CCUGAGAAACCCAAAAGAUCGAAUGGGGAGAUUCAUCGUCAGCGAUUCUGGUACUUGUGCGGUUCGUGAUGCCACGGGACUCACGUCUUGUGUCACGCGUCCGUAUGGUUUCAUUGCCAGGUGUCGUCGGCGUGCACUUCUCCCCUGGUAGGACGUCGCGACCCGUUGGGUGUCGGUCUACGGCCCGGGUGGGCGCCUGUCAUGCGUAACGCUUAACGGCGUCGUGUGGCAGACCCCCGGUUGUCUGGCCGGCUGCUCGGCGGUACUCGCACGGUAUCGGGCCGCAAAUAUUCGAACUGCGUCCGGCCCGCCGCAAGCGAGGCCAGUGUUACCCGGAUGUACGGACCUAGCGCCGUCACCGGGCCUGGCCAGCUGUUGGUUGGCGGUGUCCUGGGACUGGCUCUGUAUAAAAUUAUGAUACCGGUCGGCGACGCUACUGCUUUGGGUACUUUCAGGACCCGUCUUGAAACACGGACCAAGGAGUCUAACAUGUGCGCGAGUCAUUGGGACUUGUUAAGCCUAAAGGCGCAAUGAAAGUGAAGGUCGGCCUUGCGCCGACCGAGGGAGGAUGGACCGCGUCACGAUGCGGCCCCGCACUCCCGGGGCGUCUCGUUCUCAUUACGAGAAGAGGCGCACCCAGAGCGUACACGUUGGGACCCGAAAGAUGGU
rnacentral:rRNA from 1 species